rnacentral:rRNA from 1 species
GGGUGAGUAAUGCGUGACCAACCUGCCCCAUGCUCCAGAAUAGCUCUUGGAAACGGGUGGUAAUGCUGGAUGCUCCAACUUGACGCAUGUCUUGUUGGGAAAGUGUUUAGUGGCAUGGGAUGGGGUCGCGUCCUAUCAGCUUGUAGGCGGGGUAAUGGCCCACCUAGGCUUCGACGGGUAGCCGGCCUGAGAGGGCGGACGGCCACAUUGGGACUGAGAUACGGCCCAGACUCCUACGGGAGGCAGCAGCC